rnacentral:rRNA from 1 species
UACGUAGGGUGCUAGCGUUAAUCGGAAUUACUGGGCGUAAAGCGUGCGCAGGCGGUCUGUUAAGACCGAUGUGAAAUCCCCGGGCUUAACCUGGGAACUGCAUCGGUGACUGGCAGGCUUUGAGUGUGGCAGAGGGAGGUAGAAUUCCACGUGUAGCAGUGAAAUGCGUAGAGAUGUGGAGGAAUACCGAUGGCGAAGGCAGCCUCCUGGGCCAACACUGACGCUCAUGCACGAAAGCGUGGGGAGCAAACAGG